GGAAGUAAAAAGUGUAACAAGGUCUCCGUUGGUGAACCAGCG
rnacentral:rRNA from 1 species